CUCCGAAUGCCGUAACUCCAGAGCAUGGGAGUCGGACUGCGAAUGAUGAGAUCCGUAGUCGAGAGGGGAAACAACCCCAGACCGCCGGCUAAGGGUCCCUAACUUCAAGCUAAGUGGGAAACGAUGUGGGGAUUACUCGGACAGCCAGGAGGUUGGCUUAGAAGCAGCCACCCUUUAAAGAGUGCGUAACAGCUCACUGGUCAAGUGAUCCUGCGCGGAAAAUGUAACGGGGCUCAAGCUUGAGACCGAAGCCACGGAAUCGCCCGUAAGGGCGAUUGGUAGAGGAGCGUUCUGCACAGCGUCGAAGGCCGAUCGUAAAGGACGACUGGAGCGUGCAGAAGUGAGAAUGCCGGAAUGAGUAGCGUAAAACACGUGAGAACCGUGUUCACCGUAAGUCUAAGGUUUCCGACGCAAGGUCAAUCCGCGUUGGGUUAGUCGGGGCCUAAGCCGAGGCUGGCAAGCGUAGGCGAUGGACAACAGGUCAACAUUCCUGUACCACCGGUGAU
rnacentral:rRNA from 1 species